rnacentral:rRNA from 1 species
GCCCUUGAGUUUGAUCAUGGCUCAGGAUGAACGCUAGCGGUGUGCCUAAUGCAUGCAAGUCGAACGGUAGCUCUUGGAUUCGUCUGGGAGUGAGAGUGGCGGACGGGUGAGUAACGCGUUGGUGACCUACCUCAGAGAGGGGGACAACCAUUGGAAACGAUGGCUAAUACCCCAGAUGUCAUACUUUUUGGAAAGGUAUGACUAAAGCUCCGGCGCUCUGAGAGGGGCCAGCGUCCCAUCAGUUAGUUGGUAAGGUAAUGGCUUACCAAGACAGAGACGGGUAGGGGGCGUGAGAGCGUGACCCCCCACACUGGUACUGAGACACGGACCAGAUACCUGCGGGUAGCAGCAGCAAGGAAUAUUGCGCAAUGGACGAAAGUCUGACGCAGCAACACCGCGUGAGGGAUGAAGGCCUUCGGGUCGUAAACCUCUUUUCUGGGGGAAGAGAAAGGACGGUACCCCAGGAAUAAGUCUCGGCUAACUACGUGCCAGCAGCCGCGGUAAUACGAAGGGC